ACAUGAAACAUCGAACUUGGAAUGAAAUCAAACCGCCUUUGAAAAACCAGUGCGAAACUGCGUUCCCAGCAAAACCGUGUGCCUUCAAAACAAAGGCCAGACAUAUACUGGGAUUCAAUACUCUUUACAAGCUCCAAUUUUUUAUUCAUGAUGUGGACUUAUCCUCUUGUAUAUUAAUAAGUCUUGACAAUUUCAAGCUUAGACGAGGAGGAUCAGGAAUCAGCGGCAAAACAAGAAGACCCGAGUUCCAGUAUUAACAGAGGUCCGAACUUUCCAUGAUUUGAUAUUCUGCUUUAGGUUUUUACCUUCAUAAAAUGGUGCCUAAUCAUGUAAAACGUGAGGCAUUUAGUCGGUUUUGAUUUGGUAUAUUAUGUUUCGCAUGUAGGGGAAUAGAUGGGAAAAUCUGGGUUAUUGGUACGCCGAGCGUAACAAUAUCUUUUGGUAGGUUUUUCUGAAGCCAAACUGGUUUCUGACAUUAUCCCAUGGUGGAAUAGGAAAAAAACAUAGCUGUGGAUGAUUUGGGUAGUGUUAAGUAUAGAUAGAAAGUAUCUGAUUUUGCUGUAAUUGAGAAGGGGAGUUUUUCAAUUCUGUAGAUGUCACAGAAACUUUUACCGCAUUUGAAGUUUGCAUUUUGAAUGUAAUAUAGUAUGUCUUUUGUGAGUGAUGUUAGAACAACUCUGAAAGGUUCACUUACAUCCAUUAGAGUGGGUGAUUUGGUGAAUUAGUUCUAUAAAUACUAGUAGGUGAUUCGAGGCAGCGGUGCUGCAGGGCAAGAGGAGAGCAUAAAAGUUGGCUUCACAAAAAUUUGAAGAGGUUGAGAGGGUGAUUAGGGCCAGUUUUUCGUGAAAGGGAAAGGAGUUGGUUGUGGAGUGUGUUUAUUGAGGGUGGUGUUGCUGUCAGAGGAAGGAAUUGAUUUGAGAAGGCUGUAUGGUGCUUAAGCAACAGGGAAAUUGAAUGCGGUUUUGGCAAAUGUUAUAGAAGUUUGGAAGGUGAAGAAUUGGGGCCAGGUUCUGUUGAAAAGGAUGAGUGUUGCAGGUGUGUUGGUUGAGGUCAGUUUUAGUUGACAGAGAAAGGGAUUGAUUGACGGAAAUCCUAUUGUGCUUCUACCAAGAGGAAUAAGAUCUGGAUUGGCAAGUGUUGGGCAGAAUGGAAGGCAAUGUGUUAACAGGGAAUAUGUUGUCAGGCAUAUCCUCUGGGAUGUUGGAUAUGGAAAUGUCUCUUCAGCAUCACCAACAUCAGCAUCAGCAUCAGCAUCAGCAUCAUCAACAUCCACACCAUCCUCUUGUCAAUCACCAUAUGCAGGCAAUGCUUCCGCACUCUGCUGGUAGCCAUGUUAGUACAGGGCAUGAUGCCGAGCAAUCACUUGCAUUGGCGGAAUCCAAAGGUAUGCCAAAGAAUUUCAUGGUAUGCAGCAAAGGGAAACCUAACACUAGUGAUGAGGAUGAACCCAGCUUUACCGAGGAUGGAAAUGAUAGCCACCUUAGUGGGGGAAAGAGCAAGAAGAAUUCUCCCUGGCAGCGCAUGAAAUGGUCAGAUUCAAUGGUGAGGCUUCUGAUCACAAUGGUUUCGUAUGUGGGUGAUGAUGGUGCAUUGGAAUGCAAUGAUGUGAACAAAAAGAAGUCUGGUAUUUUGCAGAAGAAGGGCAAGUGGAAAUCGGUGUCCAGAGCAAUGAUGGACAAGGGAUGUUUUGUUUCUCCUCAGCAGUGCGAAGACAAGUUCAAUGAUCUAAAUAAGAGGUACAAGCGGCUUAAUGAUAUCCUUGGAAGGGGCAUAGCAUGCAGAGUAGUUGAAAACCCCACCCUUCUAGAUAGCAUGGAUCAUCUUUCCGCUAAGUUCAAGGAUGAUGUGAGGAAACUUUUGAGUUCCAAACAUCUUUUUUUCAAGGAGAUGUGUGCCUAUCACAAUGGCCAAACAAUGCAUUUUCCACCUGAUCUUGAUUUUCAGCAGUGUUUGCAGUCUUCACUGUCUGGCAAAAACAGAGAAGGGCCUGAGGCAUGCAGGAUGACAAAUGAGGAGAAUGGAGAUGAUGAAGAAGAUGAGGAAAAUGAUGAGGAUGAUGAUGAAGAUGAUGAAGACAACGAUGAUGAAAAUGGGGAGGAUGCGGAUGCUGAAGGGAUGGGGAACUAUUCAAAGAGAAGGAAGAUGUCCAGAAAUCCUGAAGAGGUGAAUUUUUGGUCAGCUCCUGCCACUCAUGAUUGUGGAAAACCCAGUGGUUCAUACAAUCUUAAUGCAGAGAUGGCGAGUGUUCUACAAGAUAGUACUAAAACGGCAAUGGAGCAAAAACUUUGGAUGAGGAAUCGCUCUAUUCAGUUGGAGGAGCAGAAAGUCAACUAUCAAGCACAGGCAUUUGAACUGGAAAAACAACGUUUCAAGUGGCAAAGAAUCAGUAGCAAAAAGCUCAGGGAACUGGAGAGAAUGAAGCUAGAGAAUGAAAGGAUGAAACUUGAGAAUGAGCGUAUGGCCCUGCAGUUAAAGCAGAAGGAACUUGAGAUUGAAUUCAAGAGGUCAGAAACAUCAACGAACUCAGUUUCUCUUCUCUUAGAGAAAUUCCAGGGAAGAGAGCAGAAUGAACUAGGUAGGGGUCAACAAGUUUGAAAUUAUGUUUUUUGAAGUUAAAUGUACGCUUGAUGCUUCUGCUAAUUUAUGAGGCAUAGAAUAGUACAAGAACCAGCCAGAGAAAUCUUUUCUAUGUUUCAGGCGUCAGAGUUCACGGGCUAUGUGGUUUGAGCACAUGGAAGUCAUUUCUAUGCAUUUCAAGCAGAUGAAAGUCAUUGCUAUGCGGUUCAAUCACAUCAAAGCCAUUGCAAUGCAUUUCAAGCAUAUGGAAAUCAUUGUACACUCGGUUGUCAAUAAGGUGACAUGUAACCUUUGGAUAUGUUGCAUUAGCAUUUUGUAUGCAAGCUGGCAACUUUGGUAGUUAAAAAAUUUCAGUUUCUGGAUUUAUAAGACAUGUUUAUCAAUCUAUGCGGCUUCCUGGGAGAAAGAGAUGCGUUAGAAAAGUAUUAUCCUUCAGCGAAAGAUAAUUGCUUCUAUAAAUCAAUCCUAAUUUUGAGAUCGAUUCAUCUGUCACAGUGUAUAUAAAAUUUAUAUAUUUGGGCACGAGCUAAUGGAAAUAAGAACAAUACAUACCCGAGUACCAUACCUGAGUUCACAUCUUAAAGACGUGUGAAAUGGCUAAGACAUUAGUUACUGCAAUAAGAUGGUAGAGACUUCUCGAGUAUAUUUUUGCCCCUGCUUGGCAGCUCAAGUUGAAAUGGUAUUUAAAUGACAGAAAUAACUCUUAACACAUACAAUUGAAAGUUAGAGAAUGCCAAGUGGUUCUCCACUCAUUAUCAACACAGCUGAUUCUGAAAAAUGAUAUUGCAUAAAACGAUGACUGCAUUGCCUAUGUCCAAGUAUCCUCUUGUAAUUAGGAAUACAAAGCCAUACCUUUUUGCAACAUCUUGUCACUUGAAUGGAGGGCUAUAUUUAUCUUUGAUUUUACACCUUGCAUGGAUUAUUGCUGGGGUUCCUUCAUGUUGAUGAUGGGGAUGAAUUUGCGCUCGCCGUAUGAAGUUGCAUGUUUUACAAUUUUUCGGUGAUGAAUUUUGGAUGACUACUUCUGUAUUUCUUACUGUCCAGACUCUGUUAUUAUCUGAGAUUUUUGGAUUGAAACUAUUUGGCCUGACUAAAAUAUUGAAUC